ensembl:lncRNA
GAAACCAGGUGAACAUGAGAUCUCUCUGUUUUAUUUCUUACAACUCCAUCUCAGAAUAACAAGUUUAUGGCUGGCUUAGUCCUACACCAUCCUGGGAGGCAGGUGAGACCAGAAGUGGGACUGGUGUCCACACACAUAGCCCCAGGCCCACAGUGUGUCCGCGGCCCCUUUCUGGCAGGGCCUCAUUGCCCAGGGCUCUGACAUCCUUCAGGCACCCUCUGUCUGUCCCACAUCCGCAGCAGCUAUGUGCCUCUCUUUCCUCUCAGUCCCAAAAAGCAUCAGUUAUUGAACACAUUGUCUAUGCCAGAUGGCCAUGUGGCUGCAGAUGAGCAGCCACCAGUGUCUUGCUUGCUGCCCAGGAGCCUCUCCAGUGACUGGAUGGAGAAGACCCAGUCUGGGGGUCAGGUAGAUGGUCUGUGCCCAACACAACCCCGCCCCCCAAUUGCACCCUGCCAGGCUUGGCAGGAGGCCUGGCACUGGGGCUGGCAUCAACUGGGCCCAGAAGGUGGUCAUGGAGGCCUCGCUUACGCUUGUUUCCCAUAAUUCUGGCUGCUUCCAGUCCCUUUCCUCUCCAGACACUGACGCAGAGCCUACCAACACGCUGAGGCCCCCUUUCUCAGCUUCCUGCUCGGCCACCAUAUCUUCUCAUUACCUGUUUACCCAUCUCCCCUUUGGAAUUGCCUUGAGUUCCACGGGUGUGACAUCAACAGGCCUGGAAUGCCAUCCCCAGUCGCCACGCGAUCACCAAGACCACCACUGUCGUGCUUCUCCAUCCUUGCCCCCCCACCCCUUGUCACAGCUGUCUCCUCCCUGGGGUUCCAGGAGGCCCGGGCUGCUUCCUUCCCUUGAAAAUCCAUGUUGUCACAAUUGGGACUGUCGCUCUUUUUGAUGCUCAAAAUAACCUCGAAGACCAGUUGCAGCCAAACAGUCCCCCUGGGCACAGAUGGGGAGACUGAGCCAGGCCUGCUCCUGACCUCCUGACCUCGGGACAGCUGGGCCUGGGGACAGUGGCCCGGGACAGGGCACUGGAGGGUGCAAAGGCGUUCUGGUUGUACUCCUGGUUACACUGGUGUCUCUCAUCGGAAUCGUGGACCCGGGCCUGGGGAGGAGGUCUGGCAGAGCCCUCAAGGCCACUGCGGCAGCAAGGCCCAAAGGCUUCUCUGCUUUUCUGGGCCCCAACUUGGCCAUCGUCUGCCUGGGGUCCCUCCGCCCUUCUCUAGGCGGUCCCUUGGGCCUCUGUGCCCAGCCCCUUUCUCCUGGCCUGUGGUCAGCAUCUCAUGGGGACCUGUGGCAUGUUGACCCCCCAGUGUGAACCCUGGGAGAGGAGGGUGGCGACCACCGCUUUCUCCUGCAUGUGCUGCUGUGUGUUGCAGCCGGACAGGGCUGGUGGCCGCCAUGCAGGCCAGAAGCACCAGUCCUGCCUACUCUGUGCCCUCUGCCUGCAGCCGGCAACUGCCUGGGAAGUCCUGGAGGGAGGACAGGGCUAGCACACCGGCAGUGCAUCUUGCCCCGGGGGCCAUGCACGGCUGCUCACGAGGCUAGAGCGUGGGGCAGCACACGCCCCAGAAGACAGCGGCACCUGGGGGUGGUUGCGAAGAGUCGUGGCUGCAAAAAUGAGUCUGUUUGCAGGCAUCAUGGCGUAUGGUGGUGGGUCUGUCUACCACCAACUGGGAGCCCCUCCCCUCCUGAGGGCUUGGUGCGGUUCUGGCCUGUGGCAGAGGAACCCCCGACGACCUGCAGCCAGAAAGAGGGGUGGGAAGGAGAUGAUGAAGGGGAGUGAACUGAGACCCUGAGUCCUUGCCCUCACCCAAGUAUGACCAGUCACCAGAGACCAGGAAACCAGAUGACGGAUGUCUGCUCUGAGGGCUCUGGUCGCCGCCUUCUCACCUGGGCAUGACAGCCAGUGCACCUGUGCCACCAACCCACUCUGCCCUCCCCGGCUGGUGCCCGGGCCCCAAGGCCAGCCUGCACCAGGCAGGGUGCCACCAGCAGGGCAGGUACCAGGGCCACGGAGGGCCUUGGCCUGCGCAGCUGGGCAGUGGGCACCAGAGCCCUCGCUGCGUCCUGUUGAUUCUGGGAGGGUUUUCCGAUCUGUCUGGCCUGAUGCUCGCAUGGCCAGCCGGGGAGCUGGGAUGCAGUGGAGAGCUGGAGCCAGCCUUUGCAACCCCAAGCCCCGGCCCUCGCUGGCAGAGAGGUGGGCCGUGGGGGAGGGGCAGGAGCUUCCCUCCGCUGUCUGGCGGGCCGCCUCCAGAUCUAGGUCAUCGUGCUUCAGCCUCACUCUCUGCCUUCCGCAAGCUGUGUUCCGUGGGAUUUUUUAAAUACCUGAAUGCCUCUGGGAGAAACUCAGUGUUGGUGCCAUUUCGUAUCUGCACCUUCGGCUUUUCGUGACAUUACAGAGCUACAGCGAGGACAGAGAGUCUCAGAGAUGCCAGGACACCUUGAGGAGGUCGCCUCCAGCCCCCUGGUAGCCCCUGAGCGCAUCCCUUUGGAGGGCCCCCAGGGUCACACGGUCAGGCAGCUCUUCCCCACUGAGUCACACUGUGCUCAGGGUCCCUGUCACCCCGACCCCUGCCCUGGGCUGCGUUCUCUCCCAGGGCCCUUCAGUGGUCUGUCUCUCAUUGGCUGCAGCUGGAGGCCCACAGUCCCCUGACCACUGACCCUCGAGGGGGCAGGGGCGCCCGCCUCCCCUCUGGGUCCCCGGGUCCCAAGGCUGGCUCACCGCCGCAGAGCACAGGCGCCCUUUGUGGCCUGCUCCAGCUGCCCAGUGAGUGGCGGAUGCAGUGUGGACCAAGGCUCUGCCCCACUUGGAAGCCUCUCUGUCCCUGGAGCACACAGUCGCUUUAACGGGGCGAGCGUGCCCUCCUGGCAGGGCAGCUGCUGUGGACUCCAAGCUCUUUUAAUUGGCCUGUGUCCAUCGGUGACGAGGACGGGUGUGUGUCAUCACGCUCUUACAUUUUUCUAACAAGGAGAUCAAGAGAAACAUUCUCCAAUGGCCCUCACUGCACACACAAGCCCCCCUCCAGAGCUCCUGGGGCCCACGCACCCGACUCGGCCACCUGCCCGAGGCUCCGAGGCCUGGGGUCAGCAGGGAUGGGAAGGGUAGUCCAGGCAGAGGAAGGCACGAAGCCAGGGGGCACCCACAAGUGCAGGGCAGGAGGUGUGAGUGGGGCGGCAGCCCUCCUGACUCAGUGGUCUCAGGUCUUCUCACCUGUAUGGCUGAGCCAGUGCAGCAGGCCCAGCAAGGACAGUACGUGGGAGCGGUGCCCACAAUCAGACAAAGGCAGGGCCCAGGAGGGCAUCAGAGCCCAAUGGGGCAGCCUGACCAACCAGGGCAUGUCCCUGGCCUGCCUGGGAGCUGGUCACACCCUUUGGGGGAGCGAGGUCUGGGCCCAGAGGUUGGGGUUCGCUGUUUGGUCUCACCACACUCUGAACCUCCGCUUCCUGGUCUGAGCAGGGGCCCAACUACACCCAUUCCAGCCUGUGUUGGUGCCUCCGGGAAGGGCGGGGUAGGUAAGGGCUGCAAGCGCCCGAGCCUGCUCUACCUGACAUCUGUGUGUCACCUGGAGCAAACUGCUCCAUCUCUGAAACUGGCACCCGUGUCACCUGCCACCUCCGUCAUGCCUGUCACUGUGGUUUACACAGAGCCCAUCUCCCCACAAGUUGCUUCCUUUUCCGGCCCCAGGUGACCACACGGACGCCCACGAGUCUGUGCUGGAGGGGAGGGAGACAGCACAGGCUACACGCAGCCUCUGGAGAAUUUCUUCACUAAAGGAGGUUUUUUCCUGAAAAACGUCAAGCUAUUUGUAGCCCAAGUCAGUUGAGCAGAUUUUUCUGGGUGUAGCUUAUUUUAUCACUCAUUAACUUCUUUUCUUUAUGAAUUAAAAAGUAG